rnacentral:lncRNA from 1 species
UCCCAUUGGCUUGCGUCGCUCUCAAGGGGGCGGGCCCACCCGUCGCCAUGGAGACCUCACCCUAGAAGAUUCUUCUCUGGGCCCGCGAAGGCUCACGGGAUGAGCUAUCUUGGGAGGCAUACAUUUUUACCUAGACUUUUCGUGGAAGGAAAUGGUCCCAGAAAGUUCAUGCGUCUUGCUUGGGGUAUACAGACAGCUGGAAAGUGAGCUCAGGCUUGCUUCAGAAAGUCACACAUCUUCCCAUGUCACCUGACAAUACAAGGGACUUCAAGGACAUACAGAAGAACAGAGUCCUUGGUCUCUGAAUGACCCUGUGGAAGGAUACUCACUGGCCAGAAGUAGUCCUUCCAGACUUUGAAUGACAAAUCAACUUCAUUGUGCUGGUCCACUGGGAUUUUGGAGUAAAGAUGGCAAUAUCUUCUAAUUCCACUUGGUGUUUAGGAUGCCCUUCAUAAGAAGAAACCCUGGGUCAAAGUUGAGGCUUAUGUUCUGGCUUUCCCAGCUUGAAAAGAAAGAAACUUGUAUACUGUCACCUUCCUAUUGAGGGUGCAAACUUCAUGAGGUAUGUUAGGUAUGUGUUUGUCUUUUUCUGUUUCUCAUCUUUGAGUGGGUGUUUAUUGAAAUGCCAGGUGCUUUUCAGUUGUAUUUCUGAAUGCAAGCAGUACAUAUUGUUAAACAUUUUAUUAAUAU